GAGUUUGAUCAUGGCUCAGAUCCUGAACGCUGGCGGCAGGCUUAACACAUGCAAGUCGAGCGGGGGAAGGUAGCUUGCUACCGGACCUAGCGGCGGACGGGUGAGUAAUGCUUAGGAAUCUGCCUAUUAGUGGGGGACAACAUCUCGAAAGGGAUGCUAAUACCGCAUACGUCCUACGGGAGAAAGCAGGGGAUCUUCGGACCUUGCGCUAAUAGAUGAGCCUAAGUCGGAUUAGCUAGUUGGUGGGGUAAAGGCCUACCAAGGCGACGAUCUGUAGCGGGUCUGAGAGGAUGAUCCGCCACACUGGGACUGAGACACGGCCCAGACUCCUACGGGAGGCAGCAGUGGGGAAUAUUGGACAAUGGGGGGAACCCUGAUCCAGCCAUGCCGCGUGUGUGAAGAAGGCCUUAUGGUUGUAAAGCACUUUAAGCGAGGAGGAGGCUACUUUAGUUAAUACCUAGAGAUAGUGGACGUUACUCGCAGAAUAAGCACCGGCUAACUCUGUGCCAGCAGCCGCGGUAAUACAGAGGGUGCGAGCGUUAAUCGGAUUUACUGGGCGUAAAGCGUGCGUAGGCGGCUUAUUAAGUCGGAUGUGAAAUCCCCGAGCUUAACUUGGGAAUUGCAUUCGAUACUGGUGAGCUAGAGUAUGGGACCGAGGAUGGUAGAAUUCCAGGUGUAGCGGUGAAAUGCGUAGAGAUCUGGAGGAAUACCGAUGGCGAAGGCAGCCAUCUGGCCUAAUACUGACGCUGAGGUACGAAAGCAUGGGGAGCAAACAGGAUUAGAUACCCUGGUAGUCCAUGCCGUAAACGAUGUCUACUAGCCGUUGGGGCCUUUGAGGCUUUAGUGGCGCAGCUAACGCGAUAAGUAGACCGCCUGGGGAGUACGGUCGCAAGACUAAAACUCAAAUGAAUUGACGGGGGCCCGCACAAGCGGUGGAGCAUGUGGUUUAAUUCGAUGCAACGCGAAGAACCUUACCUGGCCUUGACAUACUAGAAACUUUCCAGAGAUGGAUUGGUGCCUUCGGGAAUCUAGAUACAGGUGCUGCAUGGCUGUCGUCAGCGCGUGUCGUGAGAUGUUGGGUUAAGUCCCGCAACGAGCGCAACCCUUUUCCUUACUUGCCAGCAUUUCGGAUGGGAACUUUAAGGAUACUGCCAGUGACAAACUGGAGGAAGGCGGGGACGACGUCAAGUCAUCAUGGCCCUUACGGCCAGGGCUACACACGCGUAUGCUACAAUGGUCGGUACAAAGGGUUGCUACACAGCGAUGUGAUGCUAAUCUCAAAAAGCCGAUCGUAGUCCGGAUUGGAGUCUGCAACUCGACUCCAUGAAGUCGGAAUCGCUAGUAAUCGCGGAUCAGAAUGCCGCGGUGAAUACGUUCCCGGGCCUUGUACACACCGCCCGUCACACCAUGGGAGUUUGUUGCACCAGAAGUAGCUAGCCUAACUGCAAAGAGGGCGGUUACCACGGUGUGGCCGAUGACUGGGGUGAAGUCGUAACAAGGUA
rnacentral:rRNA from 1 species